CCAAGUUACAGAAAAAUGAAGAGACCAAGGCACAUUGUUCGAAUAUAUGGGGCGGGAGGCCGGUCCUACCAUCCACUUUGGAAUCAUUGACGUAAAUCUCUGCUCGAAUACAUGAUUGUUUGCUUUUGAACGAUGAAACGAGUGUUUUUAGUUCGUGGAGGUCUUAAUCCAUAUACAAGCUGUCAUGAAAACACUUUCUUGAGCAAGAGGAAUGAUUAUUCAGUAUGCUGUUUCAAAAGCCGUAAUACACGGCAAUUUAGAGGUGAACGUGUCCCAGUAGGGCAGCUUAAGAAACUUUCUGUGGGGAAAUUACCGUCAAAUCAGAAUGCAUCACACAGCCUCCUCAACUCAGAAAUCAUCCUAACAUGGUAAAAAAUUGUUACUGGUUUGAUGGUAGGCAGUUACACAUCAUGACAGAGAUCAAAAGAUAGCUCUUCUUUUGGUUAAAAGGGAGCAGCAACGUGCAAUUCAUGAUGAAUUGUAACAUGGUUUGGUGGACUUUGGAUCUUUGGGGCCUCAUGGUAGGUGUCUUAUCAGAAUAUACUCGGAAGACUGAACCCCUACAAUUAAGGCUCAAUUAAAACUGAAUUUGUUUUAGCUUGAGCUU